AACGUAGGUGGCGAGCGUUAUCCGGAAUUACUGGGCGUAAAGCGUGCGCAGGCGGCGCGUUAAGACAGGUGUGAAAGCCCCGAGCUUAACUUGGGAAUUGCGCUUGUGACUGGCGUGCUGGAGUGUGGCAGAGGGAGGUGGAAUUCCACGUGUAGCAGUGAAAUGCGUAGAGAUGUGGAGGAACACCGAUGGCGAAGGCAGCCUCCUGGGCCAGCACUGACGCUCAUGCACGAAAGCGUGGGGAGCAAACAGG
rnacentral:rRNA from 1 species